rnacentral:rRNA from 1 species
CUUAACACAUGCAAGUCGAGGGGCAGCAUGGUCUUAGCUUGCUAAGGCCGAUGGCGACCGGCGCACGGGUGAGUAACACGUAUCCAACCUGCCGUCUACUCUUGGACAGCCUUCUGAAAGGAAGAUUAAUACAAGAUGGCAUCAUGAGUCCGCAUGUUCACAUGAUUAAAGGUAUUCCGGUAGACGAUGGGGAUGCGUUCCAUUAGAUAGUAGGCGGGGUAACGGCCCACCUAGUCUUCGAUGGAUAGGGGUUCUGAGAGGAAGGUCCCCCACAUUGGAACUGAGACACGGUCCAAACUCCUACGGGAGGCAGCAGUGAGGAAUAUUGGUCAAUGGGCGAGAGCCUGAACCAGCCAAGUAGCGUGAAGGAUGACUGCCCUAUGGGUUGUAAACUUCUUUUAUAAAGGAAUAAAGUCGGGUAUGGAUACCCGUUUGCAUGUACUUUAUGAAUAAGGAUCGGCUAACUCCGUGCCAGCAGCCGCGGUAAUACGGAGGAUCCGAGCGUUAUCCGGAUUUAUUGGGUUUAAAGGGAGCGUAGAUGGAUGUUUAAGUCAGUUGUGAAAGUUUGCGGCUCAACCGUAGAAUUGCAGUUGAUACUGGAUAUCUUGAGUGCAGUUGAGGCAGGCGGAAUUCGUGGUGUAGCGGUGAAAUGCUUAGAUAUCACGAAGA